AUCACAUGUUCAUUAAUUGACCCCUUUAUUUUUUUCCAGGUUCAAUUCACAAUAGGUUUCGCCUCUGGAAUAAACGGAAUCGUGUCUGACUGUGACUUCCCUCGCUGGAUGCAGUACGGUUUAAUAAUGUACAUGUUUUCAUUCAUUAUACUGUUCGGCCACUUCUAUGUGAAAUCCUACAUUGAAAAGGGGAAAAGAUCGACUCACAGCAAUGGAAAUACCAGAAGUGACAAAAUCACAAACGGUGAGCCUGCAGUUGAGGCUGAAGCGACGAAUAAAAAACUAAAUUGAAAAAUACACUUUCAAGUCCACACAAUCUCAAAUCAGCCCAUGUAUGUCUCUUCUUCAAGAAAUUACUGUUUCUUACAAGUGUGAAACAUUCUACGUACGAAAUAAAGCUAUUUUUGAUCUUGAA